UACAGAGGUCUCAAGCGUUGUUCGGAUUCAUUGGGCGUAAAGGGUGCGUAGGUGGCUUGGUAAGUCGGAUGUGAAAUCCCGGGGCUCAACCCCGGAACUGCAUUCGAUACUGCUGAGCUAGAGUACUGGAGAGGAGAUUGGAAUUUACGGUGUAGCAGUGAAAUGCGUAGAUAUCGUAAGGAAGACCAGUGGCGAAGGCGGAUCUCUGGACAGUUACUGACACUGAGGCACGAAGGCCAGGGGAGCAAACGGG
rnacentral:rRNA from 1 species